GACAACGCUGGCGGCGGGCCUAACACAUGCAAGUCGUGGGAGAAUCCAGCUCUUCGGAGCUGGAGGAGACCGGCGGACGGGUGAGUAACGCGUAGGCAACCUACCCUCAGGAGAAGGAUAACCCGUCGAAAGAUGGGCUAAUACUUCAUGAUGCAGCGGGGUCGCAUGACCACAGUUGUUAAAGGUUUUCGGGCGCCUGAGGAUGGGCCUGCGUGACAUUAGCUAGUUGGUGAGGUAAGAGCUUACCAAGGCGAUGAUGUCUAGGGGGUCUGAGAGGAUGAUCCCCCACACGGGGACUGAGACACGGCCCCGACUCCUACGGGAGGCAGCAGUGAGGAAUCUUGCGCAAUGGGGGAAACCCUGACGCAGCCACGCCGCGUGCUGGAAGAAGGUCCUAUGGAUCGUAAACAGCUUUUCUACGGGAAGAAGGGGUCCCGAUUUGUCGGGACUUGACGGUACUGUAGGAAUAAGCACCGGCUAACUCCGUGCCAGCAGCCGCGGUAAUACGGAGGGUGCAAGCGUUGUCCGGAAUCAUUGGGUGUAAAGGGUGCGUAGGCGGAGCUUUAAGUCUGCGGUGAAAUCUUGCCGCUUAACGGUAAAAGUGCCGUGGAAACUAGAGCUCUUGAGUGUAGCAGAGGCCGGUGGAAUUCGUGGUGUAGCGGUGAAAUGCAUAGAUAUCACGAAGAACACCAGUGGCGAAAGCGGCCGGCUGGGCUACGACUGACGCUGAGGCACGAGAGCGUGGGGAGCGAACAGGAUUAGAUACCCUGGUAGUCCACGCUGUAAACGAUGUGCGCUAGAUGUUGGCCCUUCGGGGUCAGUGUCGCAGUUAACGCAUUAAGCGCACCACCUGGGGAGUACGUCCGCAAGGAUGAAACUCAAAGGAAUUGACGGGGGCCCGCACAAGCGGUGGAGCAUGUGGCUUAAUUCGAUGCAACGCGAAGAACCUUACCCGGGCUAAAUCCAUGCUGCCGGCUCCCGAAACGGAGUCGUUCCGUCUUUGACGGACGGCAUGGAAGGUGCUGCAUGGCUGUCGUCAGCUCGUGCCGUGAGGUGUUGGGUUAAGUCCCGCAACGAGCGCAACCCCUGCUGCUAGUUACCAGCGCAUUAUGGCGGGGACUCUAGCAGGACUGCCUACGCAAGUAGUGAGGAAGGUGGGGACGACGUCAAGUCAUCAUGGCCCUUACGUCCGGGGCUGCACACGUGCUACAAUGGAUGGUACAACGGGAAGCUACUCGGCAACGAGGUGCGAAUCUCGAAAGCCAUCCCCAGUUCGGAUCGUAGUCUGCAACUCGACUGCGUGAAGGUGGAAUCGCUAGUAAUCGCGGAUCAUCAACGCCGCGGUGAAUACGUUCCCGGGCCUUGUACACACCGCCCGUCAAGCGAUGGAAGUCAGGAGUACCUGACGUCGCCGUGCUAACCCUUCGGGGAGGCAGGCGCCCAGGGUAAGCCUGGCAACUGGCGCU
rnacentral:rRNA from 1 species